CAACCUUUAAAUACCACUGCAGGAGGCCCCGUUUGGGUGUGUCCAUUCACCGAUAAGGCGCCACCUCUGGUGUCUGCUUUAUCUCUCACCCUGUGCACCUGAAAGCUUUGCUUGCCUGACACCAACAGUCAAAUGAGCAUCUCAAGUUUGCUUUUCUGAAAAGGGUUAGGUUACAGGGCACAUUAAGGUAGCUGUUCUCUCCUGCUCUGUUUCUUCUUUCCUUAGGCCUGAGCAAAGGGGGCCCACGUCUCCAUCCCUAGGAUCCUGCACAGUGGCAGUGCUUAUGGAACACAGACUGCUUACGAUCAUGCUACACUUGUCGAUGUCCUGUGCAUGUCCCAAAAUGUUCCUGGCUGGCUCGUAUCCCUGCCUGCUACUCAGGACCCCCAGCUCCUUCUUGAUCCAACUUUUCCUGCCUCUGCAUGCACGCGGAGCAUAUCAUGCAGGAAGCCAUCCAUCCAGGAGUCCCAGAGCAGUAUCAACCUCAACUUUUGUGACAAGCCCAAUAACUUGCUUCUUGUAAUAACAAUUUCUGAGAAACGUGGUUGUUAAGAUCUUCCAGUAAAUAACUUCAGAGAGUGGGUUCAAAAUGAACUCACCAAGCAC
rnacentral:lncRNA from 1 species